rnacentral:rRNA from 1 species
UCCCGUUGAUCCUGCGGGAGAUUGCUGCUAUUGGGAUUCGAUUAAGCCAUGCAAGUCUUCCAGCAAUGGAGGCGAAAGGCUCAGUAACACGUCGGUAACCUGCCCUAUGGUUAGGGAUAACCUCGCGAAAGUGAGGGUAAAACCUAAUAUGGAACAAACCCUGGAAUGGGUUCUUUCUGAAACUCGUGCCAUAGGAUGGGCCGGCGGCGGAUUAGGCUGUUGGCGGUGUAAUGGACCACCAAACCUAAGAUCCGUACGGGCCAUGAGAGUGGUAGCCCGGAGAGGGACACUGAGAUACUGGUCCCAGCCCCACGGGGUGCAGCAGGCGCGAAACCUUUACAAUGCACGCAAGUGUGAUAGGGGGAUCCCAAGUGCUUAUCAUUGAUAGGCUUUUGCCAAGUUUAAACCGCUUGGCGAAUAAGGGGUGGGUAAGACUGGUGCCAGCCGCCGCGGUAACACCAGCGCCCCGAGUGGCAAUCGCGAUUAUUGGGCCUAAAGCGUCCGUAGCAGGUCUUGUAAAUCUUUUGUGAAAUCGGCAAGCUUAACUUGUCGGCGUGCAGAGGACACUGCAAGACUCGAGACCGGGAGAAGUCAGAAGUAUUCCUUGGGUACCGGUAAAAUGGGUUAAUCCAAGGAAGACUACCAAUGGCGAAGGCAUCUGACCAGAACGGAUCUGACUGUGAGGGACGAAAGCCAGGGGAGCAAAACGGAUUAGAUACCCGAGUAGUCCUGGCCGUAAACGCUGCGAGCAAGGUAUUGUGUAUCCCACGAGGAUGUGCAGUGUCGAAGCGAAGGCGUUAAGCUCGCCGCCAGGGAAGUACGGUCGCAAGGCUGAAACUUUAAGGAAUUGGCGGGGAGACACCACAAGGGGUGCGGCGUGCGGUUCAAUCUAACUCAACACAGAAAACCUCACUAGGCCCGACGGCAGAAUGAAGGUCAUGCUGAAGACAUUACCUGACAAGCCGAGAGGUAGUGCAUGGCCAUCGCCAGCUCGUGCUGUGAAGUGUCCAGUUAAGUCUGGCAACGAGCGAGACCUGUACCCUCUAUUGCUAACAACCACUGCGGUGGGAUUGAGCACUUUGAGGGGACCGCCUCGGAAACGGGGAGGAAGGUGCAGGCUACGGUAGGUCUGUAUGCUCCGAAUGGUCUAGGCUACACGCGCGCAACAAUGGUAUGGACAAUGGGAUGCCACUCCGAAAGGAGGAGCCAAACCUCUAAACCAUAUCUUAGUUCAGAUCGAGGCUUGAAACUCAGCCUCGUGACGCUGGAAUCCCUAGUAAUCGGGUGUCAUUAUCGCCCGGUGAAUAUGUCCCUGUCUCUUGCACACACCGCCCGUCAAACCAACCGAGCAGGGUUUAGGUGAACCUCAACUUUUUUGGUUGUGCUGAACCUGAGCUCAGUGAGGUGGGUUAAGUCGUCACAAGGUC